AACAGAUGCCUCCAGUGUUGUUACCUGAAUGUCACACCUGCCCGUGGCGUUCGAUCAUGGAUCAACACCUGUGCUGUAACGAGAGCAGGCACCAGAGACUCAAUUUGAAGCACUGCUGCGAUUGAAAAAUGGUGAUUUCUGUGUAUGUGACGGGCAGAAAAUGAACUGUGGCUGGUACUGGAUCUCAUGCAGGAAUACUGUCCACGCACUGACGGUGGAUCCACCAGAUUGUAACGCCACUGAAUCAUCGAGGACGGAGGAGGAGGAACCACGUAGUCAUCCGUCAACCACCUGGAAAAACUAUGUGGAUUCACUGGCAGGACAAAGCUGCAGUAUUCAGAGCUGCGCCAGCCGAUCACGGUUCCUUCAAUCCUCCAGGACGAUAACAGAUGAAGGUCUUUAACAAUAAAGUGCUCCAGGGAUGACUUAUUUUUGUAGGC